rnacentral:rRNA from 1 species
UACGUAGGGGGCAAGCGUUGUCCGGAUUUAUUGGGCGUAAAGAGCGUGUAGGCGGCCAGGUAGGUCAGCUGUGAAAACUCGAGGCUCAACCUCGAGAUGUCGGCUGAAACCAUCUGGCUAGAGUCCGGAAGAGGAGAAUGGAAUUCCCGGUGUAGCGGUGAAAUGCGCAGAUAUCGGGAAGAACACCCGUGGCGAAAGGCGGUUCUCUGGGACGGUACUGACGCUGAGACGCGAAAGCGUGGGGAGCGAACAGG